rnacentral:rRNA from 1 species
UACCGCAUAACCAUAGUUACCGCAUGGUAACUAUGUAAAAGGUGGCUAUGCUACCGCUUUUGGAUGGGCCCGCGGCGCAUUAGCUAGUUGGUGGGGUAAAGGCUUACCAAGGCAAUGAUGCGUAGCCGAACUGAGAGGUUGGUCGGCCACAUUGGGACUGAGACACGGCCCAAACUCCUACGGGAGGCAGCAGUAGGGAAUCUUCCACAAUGGGCGAAAGCCUGAUGGAGCAACGCCGCGUGGGUGAAGAAGGUUUUCGGAUCGUAAAACCCUGUUGUUAGAGAAGAAAGUGCGUGAGAGUAACUGUUCACGUUUCGACGGUAUCUAACCAGAAAGCCACGGCUAACUACGUGCCAGCAGCCGCGGUAAUACGUAGGUGGCAAGCGUUAUCCGGAUUUAUUGGGCGUAAAGGGAACGCAGGCGGUCUUUUAAGUCUGAUGUGAAAGCCUUCGGCUUAACCGGAGUAGUGCAUUGGAAACUGGGAGACUUGAGUGCAGGAGAGGAGAGUGGAACUCCAUGUGUAGCGGUGAAAUGCGUAGAUAUAUGGAAGAACACCAGUGGCGAAAGCGGCUCUCUGGUCUGUAACUGACGCUGAGGUUCGAAAGCGUGGGUAGCAAACAGGAUUAGAUACCCUGGUAGUCCACGCCGUAAACGAU